rnacentral:rRNA from 1 species
GAUGAACGCUGGCGGCGUGCUUAACACAUGCAAGUCGAACGAAGCACUUAUCAUUGAGACCUCCGGGUUGACAUGGUUUGUGACUGAGUGGCGGACGGGUGAGUAACGCGUGGGUAACCUGCCUUGUACAGGGGGAUAACAGUUAGAAAUGACUGCUAAUACCGCAUAAGCGCACGGUGUCGCAUGACACAGUGUGAAAAACUCCGGUGGUACAAGAUGGACCCGCGUCUGAUUAGCUAGUUGGUGAGGUAACGGCUCACCAAGGCGACGAUCAGUAGCCGACUUGAGAGAGUGAUCGGCCACAUUGGGACUGAGACACGGCCCAAAACUCCUACGGGGAGGCAGCAGUGGGAAUAUUGCACAAUGGGGGAAACCCUGAUGCAGCGACGCCGCGUGAGUGAAGAAGUAUUUCGGUAUGUAAAGCUCUAUCAGCAGGGAAGAAAAUGACGGUACCUGACUAAGAAG